GAUUCUGCCCGCUACGGGAUCUCGGUUCCUUGCGGGUACGAUUCGCGUCCUCCAGGUGCAGAUCUGGAGGUAAAAGACCGCGGUGAUGACACCGUUUCAUCCGCCCUAAGCGUGAGACCUGCCGGUGACCCGAUCGUUCCGCGAUCAUGGGUCAUUCCAGCAACGAUGAUCUGCUUGCGGAAUAUACCCGUCGUGGUGGAUGGACGUUCUGAGCGGU